rnacentral:tRNA from 1 species
UCUCUCGUGGUGUAGUGGUAACAUGCGUGCUUGUCGCGCACGCGCCCCUGGCUCGAUUCCGGGCGGGAGAG